AACUGAAAGUUACUAUGCAGUACAGGUGUAUGUUUACAUGUGUGCACCUGUACUGUGCAGUACCUCUGGUGACUUAUGCUGAGUUGACCAUAAAUUUCCUACCUGCAUCGUGCAGGCAGCAAAUUUCCACCCACUUAGUUACUGCG